CUUCUCUCUCUCUUCUCUCUCUUCUCCCCACCCCACGUGACCGAACCCACCUCCCUCUUUCUUCUUCUCCUUUUCUUCUUUGUGGAACAAGCAAACUGAAGGAGAAGCUGAGGUGAAGACAGUAGCUCACCAAGACAGCAGCCAGCCGUCGUCGCCGCCCACGCACCGCCGCAGCUCGCCGCCAGGCCGUCGCCCCGCCGUCCGCGCUCCGCCCCGCGUCCAUCCCCUCGCGCCCAGUCCUCCCCCGUGCGAUUUCAGCUGCUGUCCAGCUCGGUUCUGCACCGACCAGCCACCUCCGGCCAUCGCCUACCUCCGUCCGACCACCUCGCAGCUCCCCGGCGUUCCCCUCACCUUCCGCCGGCCUUCCCUCGCCGUUUUGGCCGCCGGAGCAGCCCCGAUCAGCCCCGUCCGGCAAACCCGCGAGUGGGUUUCCAGCUGGUUCAAGGCCGUUUUGGGCCGUUUCCGAGCCUCGGAUCCGUGAAUCGCUUUGGGAACAAUCGUUCCUCGUGUCGCCACCGUCGGAUUGAUCCGAUUUGCGCGCGAUUCGGUGAGUAAUCUCACUAAUCAUGGAUUAGUUGGCUAAUUAUGCUUAAGGUUGGUUUAGAUUUAAUUAAUUAUGCUUAGGUUGUUAGAUUAGAAUAAAUUAGCAAUUAUUAGUCAAUUGUGAUGCGAUUUAAAUAAAUUGAUUGCGCAAUUAACAAGUAGACGUGGUCUACUAAUUAUUGGAAGUGCCUCGGGAUUUUUCCCGACCCUUAGUGGGCUCCAAUUAGGCUUUUCGGGCCUAAGUGGAAUUUUUAGUAUUUAAAUAUUAAAUUUUGGAAUUUAAUUAAAUAAUUAUUUAUUUUCCGAAAAUUCAACUGAGAUGUCUCGGGACCGGAAUAUUAUGCUGAUGACCGUGGUGAAGUCCAUUUAUUUAAUCGGGCUUUAUUUUGAGCUAAAUUGAAUUUUUAAUAUUAAUUAUUUAAUUUUCGAAAUUAAUAAAUUAAUUAUUAUUUUUCGGAAAUUANNNNNNNNNNNNNNNNNNNNNNNNNNNNNNNNNNNNNNNNNNNNNNNNNNNNNNNNNNNNNNNNNNNNNNNNNNNNNNNNNNNNNNNNNNNNNNNNNNNNAUUUUGAUGGCCGACGACCGAAAUCUCGUGUUGAUCGUCGUGACGCAGUCCGUUUAUUUAUUUGAGCUCCACGUUGUAUGGAAUUGAAUAAAUUGUGAUAUUUUAGGGAUUUACCCUAAAUUGAUUGGAAUUGAUUGAGAUUGAAUUGUUGAUUGGUAAAUGGCCAAGUAUGUUUAUUCAGCAUUUAUAGUGCUUUGUUGAGUUGUAAAUUGAGUAGAAUGAUGAGAGUGAAUCAGAAGUACUCUGGGAUUGAACCAAUCAGACACGGUGUAUGGACCUACGUGGUUCGGUGAUUGGGACAUCACUGGCGAAAACGGCGCCUUAAAGAACGCACGUAUCGGUCUAGUACAUACAUUAUUGUGGACCUACGUGGUUCGGUGAUUGGGAUAUCACUAGCGAAAACGGCGCCUUAAAGAACGCACGUAUCUGUCUAGUACUCAUAUUGUUAUAGGCAUGUAUGGUUCGGUGACUAAGGGUGUCACUGGCGAAAACGGCGCCUUAAAGAACGCAUACACUUGUCUAUUAAAUACAUUGUUAUAGGCAUGUGUGGUUCGGUGAUUAUGGAACUCACUGGCGAAAACGGCGCCUUAAAGAACGCACACAAUUGUCUAUUCAGUACAUGGUUAUAGGCAUGCCUGGUUCGGUGAUAAGGACAUCACUGGCGAAAACGGCGCCUUAAAGAACGCACGCAAUUGUCUAUUGAUCAAAUCAUUGUAGGCAUGUGUGGUUCGGUGAUUUGGGAUAUCACUGGCGAAAACGGCGCCUUAAAGAACGCACACAGUUGUCUAGUGGAUACGUCACCUUGGCGAAGUUGACGCCCGAGAGCAUUGAUGUGGCUCUGUGACCGAGUACUCGAUGAAAGAAUAUAUGGUGUGGAAUCAAUGACCUAGAAUGGUCCGUCUGACAUGUAAUCGACUAGGUCGAUUGAUCCUUGCUUUGAUUUGAUAUUGUGAAUUGAUUGACUGAAUGGAAAUGACCGUGAGUGGUCUUGUUGGCAUAUAAUCGACUAGGUCGAUUUGAUCGAUGCUUCGAUCAGUGAUAUAAUUGCUUGGGUGCCUAUUAUGAAUUGUACUGACUUGCAUGCGGAAUAUGAGGCCAAGGUAAGUCUUCUGCCCUGUACGUGUUUAGGCAGCCUGUAGUAUAAUAGUUUACUAAUUGGGCUUAGUGGGGUAGAACUCGCUGAGACGUAGUCUCAUCCCAGUUUGGGGAAAACAUUUCAGGACCUCGGUGAGAAGCUGAAGAGGAGUCUAAGAAGGAGAACUCGGAGGUGAAACUUAAGGAGAAAGAUUUUUGGGAGAAGAUGAUAAUCCCGAGAAGGGCCUUGAGUACGGCCCGGAUGGCUGAGAGUUUAUUUUCUUUUGAGAUCUCCUUUUUGAUGUGAUUAAAGUUUAGAGUAAAAAGUUGUAGAGUGCUCUGGUUUGUGUUUUGUAUAAAAGUUUGGUUAUAAAUUUCAAUAUGAAAAAUAUGGCCCUGCUUUUCUAUCC
rnacentral:lncRNA from 1 species